UACGAGUGGUGCAAGCGUUAUUCGGAUUUAUUGGGCGUAAAGGGUGCGUAAACGGUGUGAUAAGUCUGUUGUUAAAUCCCUCGGCCCAACCGAGGAUAUGCAGUGGAAACUAUCAUGCUAGAGGAUGGAAGAGAGAAGUGGAAUUCUUGGAGUAGCGGUAAAAUGCGUAGAUCUCAAGAGGAACACCAAUGGCGAAGGCAGCUUCUUGGUCCACUCCUGACGUUGAGGCACGAAAGCGUGGGGAGCAAACAGG
rnacentral:rRNA from 1 species